rnacentral:rRNA from 1 species
CUCACGGUGUGUCUGAUCUCGGAAGCUAAGCAGGGUCGGGCCUGGUUAGUACUCGGAUGGGAGACCACCUAGGAAGACCAGGUGCGCGGUAGGU